UACGUAGGGGGCAAGCGUUGUCCGGAUUUAUUGGGCGUAAAGAGCGUGUAGGCGGCUUUACAGGUCCGUUGUGAAAACUCGAGGCUCAACCUCGAGACGCCGGUGGAAACCGUAAAGCUAGAGUCCGGAAGAGGAGAGUGGAAUUCCUGGUGUAGCGGUGAAAUGCGCAGAUAUCGGGAGGAACACCUGAGGCGAAGGCGGGCUACUGGGCCGAUACUGACGCUGAUGCGCGAAAGCCGGGGGAGCGAACGGG
rnacentral:rRNA from 1 species